CAGCCAGCCCUGUGACUCCAUCUUCGCUCAGUGCUUACAUAGCUACUGAGUUAGGACUGUUACUAAAAAUACUUCUAAACACUAACCCAAGCCAUGGAACAGGAAGGGCUUCUCCAGUCCAAAGACUACAUGAAAAGAGAAGAAGAAAAGGCUUCCCGUUUGUAAAAGGAUGGUGCUGAAAUAACAAAAGCAAACAACUUCAGCAUACUUUUGUAAGAACACUGCAGUUUGCUCCUGCAUUCAUGAGGAAUCAGAAAACAUCUGUACCACAUAUGAAAUGUUAAUGGAGUGCACCUAUUUCUCCUGAGAAUGCAACGAAGACCUCAAAGAUCUGCAGUUUCUCUGAGAUUUCACAUCUGUCUAACAUGAGGGUACCUAGGCUGUGCUCUAGAAAUGAGAAAAUGAACAAGUCCCAGAUGACUCCUGAUCUGGUGCAUCCAACCAGGACAUCCAGAGACCACCAGAUGAAUGAAAACAUCUGAAGGCAGAUGACAAACCCAUCAACAGGAGAUGUACCAAGGGGGAGAGUACGCUGAUAAAUUGGGGAGACAGCAGGACUUUAACUCCUCAAGCUGAGACUUUGUGGAAACAAGGACUAACCCAAAAAUGAUGCUGUUAUGUUAAUGACUGUAUUACAAGUUAAUUCUUGUCAAUUAAGAAUCCAAAUGCCUUUCGUCAGGGAGGAUAAGACACAUAUGAAAGGAGAUAGUAUGAUAUUGUUGUGCCAUGCUAAGGACUGUUCAUGAAGGCUUGUGUGGAAUAGGCCAUAUUACACCCAUUGAGCUCACAGCAAAAAUAAUAGCAGAAAUUAAGACAUGAAUGAACUGAGGAUGUUUUUGCCUUUCCUCAGUCCUCUGUUAGCUAUUCUUACAAUUCUCUCAUGCUUGCCUGUGUUAAUUAGACUAGCUAUAGGGGCAAUACAUUCAACCCUGGCCUCUAUUACAACCACUUUUUCUUUAAAAAAAAAAUUAGAAGGGAGAUAUUGGGGACACAGAGGUCCUUGUACUCACAGAGAAGCACUAAAAGAACCGGGAAUAUUAAUCACACAGGGGCAUCUCCUCAAUGGAGACACAAAUCAAAUUAGCUGCUUUCCAGGCAUGGUCAGAACAGAGAGGACAUGAUCUAAAGAAACAUGACUAUUAACUGUGUUUUAGAGCUCCUAGGCUCUAAAUAACAACAUGUAAUAAGGUACCAACAAUGGUUAAUUAAUGUAACAAAUGUGUCAUAUUAAGAAUAAAGGGAACUAGGUAUAAAACAGACAAAAACUCCCUGCUACUAUCUUUACAAUAACUUUUAAACCUAAAACUGUAAUCAAAUAAAAGUUCACAUAAAAAUUA